GUAAUUAUCAAUAAGGCGCCACUUUUUCCCUCUUUAUUUUUCACAACCCACGUCUCUCAGCCCGCCUCCCACUCCGAAAAAAAUACUGAAAACCCUCAAUCUUCUCUCUGUUUUGAUUGCAAAACAAAUUCGUACUAAUGGCAAAAUCUUCAGAGUUGUGUUAAAAGAACUUCCGCCUUAUCUCGUUACUGCUCACUAUCACCUGAUCGUCUGCAGGUCUGGUCAUUUUCGCCCAUGACAGAUAAAGAAAAUACAUCAUUCGCAUAGUUUUCUUCUCAUCAAUCUAAUGAUAUCAUCUAGGGGAGCUUUGUUGGAAGAGAUUGAGACAUUGGUCCAUAGACACAAGCAAGCUCUCUGUAGAUCGAGACAUUUACUAGUUAAAACAGAGGGUAUCGUGCAGAGACGACUGUAGUUACUUAUUGCCGGAAUAGGAAAGACUGCGUUGACAAGUCAAAGCUCAGAAUCCUUCCUGUAAGUUUACUUUCUCUGGUCCAUUAUUUGCUUCGUCAUGUUCAAUAAAAUGGAAAUAUAUGGUAUAAUAUCUCUCCUGGGCACUGCUUAUGACAUUUUUCCUUAUAAAGAUGGUAGCCUUGUGAGGAAAAAGAAGAGAGGGGAAAUAGAUGGUUUCUACUUUCUAGUUUUAUUUCUAAAAACGACUUUGGGUUAGUCUUUAGAGCUAGAAAAUUCAGAUUGGUCAUUGCUGGUGUUUUUGAUAGUUAAAUUGCUAGUAUUCAAGAGUUCUGGGCAGCAUGGGAGGGAGCUCAUAACUACGUAGCUUGCAUUGCAGAUUCUUUCCAUUUUAAGUGAAGAGGAAUUCUUAUCCAGUACAUAUCCACUUAAUUUGAAUAACACGCUUGCUAAGUUUGUCAUAAAGGUAAAAUCCCAAAUUCCUCGGAGUUAAAUAAUGUGGUAAAUCGAAUGCAUAUUUAUAAUCUACAUUGAAGUUGUAAUGAUCAGAAUAUUGAACCCUUUAAGUUGAACAUGAUCUCUAUUUGCUUCAUCCCCUUUUCAAAAUUAUUACUUAAUCUUGAGGUUCUUUCAUUGUGAACACCUGCUGAUGUUGCUGUGAUUUGUGCCCCUCCGCCCCCAAUUUACUGAGUCGUUUUGGCUAGGAAAUUCUCAACUACCUUUACUAAAUAUUCCGAUCAAUAUAAAGGAUUUCUUAUUGGCAAAGACAGAUUGACCUUUCACACAGGCUCGUAAAGAGAGCUUGUUAUAGCAUCAUUGAUUUUCCUGUUUUGCCCAACACCGGUAAGUAUCUUUCUAAAAUUAAUUUACUGCAGAUUGUAUGGGUGUAAGAGAAAUCUAGGUGAAACUCGGUAAAGUAAUACAUGGUCAGAUUCUGAAGAAAGAUAUAGCAUAUGCACCUUUCACUUCUUCAGAACUUGUGAAGAUAUAUAGGAGUUGUGGUGCACUUGAGCCACGUCUCCUCAUUCUCAGUGAUCCUAGUACUGAUCACCAAGUUGAUGCUUAUUUAGUUAUUUCCAAGGUAUUUAUAACUAUCUCCCUUUUGAGUUGCCAAUGAUUUACAACCUAUUUGAAUACUUUUGCAGCCUACAAGGAAGCUGCACAAGGAAACCUUGACAUCAAAUCCUGAGAUAUUAUCUUUUUCAUUUCUCCCCAUAUUUCCCCCUUAAAUCCUAAGAGGCUUUUGCAUCUUCCUGGUUUCCUCCUAAGCAUUAUCGACUGGUCGAAUAAUUCAUAACUGACAUUUGCUUCUCUUUUUCUUUUCUUUAACCAGGAAUUGAUUACUUGUUGGUUGCUGCAUUUGAUGAUUUUCUUACUUCAAUUUUGGCGCUCAAAAAAGUUGUUUAGAACUGGCAUGUUUCAUGUUCUUGUUUUAACAAAUUUUAGCCAUUGAAUUAAUCUCCAAAUGCUGCUGGAUAAGAGAUUGUGUAUUCUAAUCAGUCCUGUUAAGUUGUGCAUAGAAAUUUCUGCUUAUUGUCUCAUGUUUUGGCCUUUUUUUUUGUGGUGGCUUGGCUACUGAAUUUGCAGUCUUCUUGACCUCUGAGUGAAUGUAUUAGGAACUGGUACCUACCUUGAAUGCAACUUGUAUUAUGGCGGAACUAACAUCACUGAUUAUUUGGCUCCUUUCCAUUACAUCCAAUCUAUAGUUACUCUCAUAGAAGUUGAGCUGGAUUACAUCUGUCUGGUCCAAGAUCCAAAGAUCAUGAAUUAUGUCUGAAGAACUUGUCCUGGAAGUAAGUGCUAAGCAAGUAUAAGCAAUUGAAAUGUUAAAAGAACAAGUUGAAGAAUUAGAGAGACCUACUGUUGUGUUAGUAUUUGUGUAGAAAUGUUCUCGUUUGUACAUGCCACAAUUCUAUCUCUUUAUUAGGCAUUUAUUGAAAGAUUGUUAUGCUUUGGAUGGGUAUAUUUUUUGGUAAUGGAAUGCUUCUGUAUUUGUAAUUGACCAUAAAA